UUGUGUUAUAGGAUUGCUGGGUUAGUAGUCUGGUUAUCUAGUUUAUGUAAUUUUUGGUUUAGUAUUUUGGUUAUCUAAGUAUGGUUUAAUUAUGCAAACUACAUAUGUAGGCCAUUGGACCAUUUGAGAAAUCAAUCAGAACAAUAAUUAUGUAACACCUGUCUCUUCCUCUGUCGAGACCGACGUGCUACUAACCGAAAAAUACCAAAUUAAACCGAUUUAUAAAACCGAAUAAAAUGUCAAACCUUUUAAUCAAAUAAUUUCCAAAUAAAACAAGUUUAUAAUUUAAAACCAAAUACAUUAAAUCGAAAAGUUAUUUAAAACUGAAAUAAAAUACAACGAUUCCAAGACACCAAUCCGUCCACAUAUCCAACUACUCGUCAUGUUCACCUGCAAGGGGAAGAAAGAGGGGUGAGUAACAGAUGAGUUACUCCGUGAGGUAUGGGAUGCUAAACCGCAAACCACUGACUCAGUACAUAGCACUACGACCAUGUAGGCCUAGCUCUAGCAUGAAACAAACACAGUGUCUAAUACACCACAUAAAACAUCCAGUGCGCUGAUAGUACAUGCUACUCUAUGCACCCCGCAUUUCCUCAUAAGGAUAUAUCUAUAUCUCCAGGCGUACACUAGUCCAUCUCUGUACUCCCAGAAUCUGCACGUCGGCGACUGAUACAAACGUCUUUGUACCCCUGCAAUCUCACUGCUCGUCGGCGGCUUACAAAAACGUCUUUGUGCACCCGCAAUCACACUGCUCGUCGGCGGCUUACACAAACGUCUCUGUGCACCCGCAAUCACACUGCUCGUCGGCGGCUUACACAAACGUCUUUGUGCACCCGCAAUCCACACAAAUGGACAUAUAUAUUUAUAUACAUAUAUAUAGCAGUUUUAACAUCACUCAAUUCAUUCAACCGUUGAAUCCUCUAUUAUCCUAUUUUCGGUUUAACAAUCAAUAAUAAUAAUAAACAAACAAGACUCUCAAACAGACUCAAUUCACAGAGACAGAUCAUGUUUCGAAACUAGACUACUAGCUCGGGAUUUAACGGAAUAGCCCUCACCUUAGCCAAUAUCGGGAAAUUGAUAACAUGACAGGAAAUAACGAGAUGACAUGAGCAACAAGAAAGCUCAGGGUUUCUCCCUGGGUCUUGAUCUCUCUUCAAUGGCGCAUAAAGGCAGAUCAAACGCAAGCUCGGCAAAAAUACAAAAUAUUAAUUAAUAAGGCUAGGGUUACAACAACUUGUUGUACAAGAAACAAGGACAAAAGCACUUAAACCUUCACGAUUGACCAAAGGACACAACAUGAAAUUAUUAAAUAUGACAUGAACGUAAGGGAAGAGCGGAUUCUNNNNNNNNNNNNNNNNNNNNNNNNCACAACAUGAAAUUAUUAAAUAUGACAUGAACGUAAGUGAAGAGCGGAUUCUGACGAUCAUCCCAUGAACAAAGAUAAAGCUGGCCUUGGAUUUGACAAGUGGUGAUGAGGGCGACUAGGACUUUGGCGACAUGGAUCUCCGGAGAUGUACAGCUCACGUCCGGUGGUGAUGAGACGGUGACGCAGUCAUUGCUCACGUGCAAUCGAGUCCGGUGCAACGUACCUCCAUAUCAGAGAUGGAGGUGAACGGAAAGGCUGAAGACUUCUUUCAGUUCUCCACUUUGAC
rnacentral:lncRNA from 1 species